CAGGGGAGCGAGGGGGAAACCGCUAAGGGAGGAACGGCGGUGCGAGCGCCGAGGUGAGUGACUGCGGCGGGGGCUCGCAGGGCCGAGCAGGUGGAUGGUGUUCGUUGGAGGAACUGCGGCCUGUAGGAGGGACCAUGGAGCAGGGAAACAGCGUGAGGAGCGGGACGGCGUGCGAGCGAGGAGUGGUUAUGGGCUGACCCCAGCCCCCGUCCCUUCUUCUCGCUGGGCUGCUCCACGGGAGGAAGUGGAAGAGUUGGGAAUGAAGAUGAGCCUGGGAAAAAGGGAAUGUGUGGGGAAUGGCGAUAUUUUAAUUUUUGGUUUUGUUUCUUACUAUCGAAGUCUAUUUUAAUAGGCCAGAAAUACUAGACAUCUAUUUUAAUAGGCCCGGUUCCAGCCAUUAACAAGGUAAUUUUUGCAGUAGCCAGGACCCCUGGCAUGGCCAGGACCCCGAUGUUAUUUUAUACCACCUCACAAGGGGGGCAACGGAAAAGGGAGUCCCGUCUGAGUUAGUGUAGCGAGGCAGAGGGAGCAAUCCAUUGUCUUUUCGCCUCUUUCUUGUACCCCCUGUCGUUACUAUUGCUGCUGUUACUGUUUGGUAUUUUUAUCUCACUGCUAUUUCCAGUAAAUUGUUUUUAUCUCACCUUUUUGUGCCUCCAGCUCUCCUCACCAGCCAACUGCAGUGGGAAGGGGAGGGAGAACAGGGAAUGAGUGAGUGAGUGGCACAUGGCUUGGAGAGUCUCAGUGGGAUUACUAAAUUGGGGAGUACCAUUUCCAAACCACGACAUGCCCCUGAUGGUAAUUGGAGGAAGAGACUGGGAACAUGUGCACUGGAAAGAAGCUACAGCAUGGUUCAUCCAGAUUCCCAGUCUGUAGACCUGAGGGAUGAGGAAAGAAGAAAAUGCCGAGCAAAAAUCCUGCCUGCAACAUAUUCAGGAUCUGUGUUCGUUGUUAUUAUUAUGUGGCUGGAAAAGUCACUAUUCCAGAGGAAAGCACCCUUUUGGCAAAACAAGCAGAGUUUGAACUAUUGCAAGCUCCACUCAAACAGAUUUUACUUAACAGCUCACGACAAGUGAAAAGUCAACAAGAAGGCUGCACAGAGGACAGAGUCAGGCCCUUUCCAGUGACAGGACCAGAGGCAAUGGGCGUACACUGAAACACAGGAAGUUCCCUCUGAACAUCAGAAAACACUUUUUCAUUGUGAGGGUGACCGAGCACUUGCACAGGUUGCCGUGAGAGAUUAUGGAGUCUCCAUCCUUGGAGAUAUUCAAAAGCUGUCUGGACACGGUCCUGGGCAACUGGCUGUUGGGUGGCCAUGCUUGAGCAAGGGCAUUGGACAAGAUGACCUCCAGAGGUCCCUUCUAACCUCAGCCAUUCUGUAAUUGUGAAUGUAUAUGGCCCACAAAACUGCACAAGAAAGACCUGUAUUCUCACAUCUGCGUGAUUUACUCUGGAUUUCCAAGGCACAUCACCUAAUUGUAAUUUAUCAAAUAGAAUUACUGACUAAUAUAAAAGUUUACUUUAUGGACACAAAUGUCAAUUGUUGAUUUCUAGAAAGGCAAACCUCUAAAUUAAAGGUUUAAAAUUAAAAAGAAGUCAAGAAUCUAUUUCCAAUUUAAAAUCUGGUGGCUUUUACACUUUUCAGUGGUAUUAAAGGCUUUUCCUUUCUUCGGAAGCUGAAGGCACUAUAUAGACAUUUAAGAUUGCACAGGGAAGUGCACCUCAUGUCAUGACUGCAAUUAGCAGCAACUAUCCACCUGUCUCAAGAGUUUAACAAUGCAUGGAUUUUUCUAAUAUACUACAGGAUUUAUGCUUAUUCCCAUUUGGGCAGAACAGGAAGGAAUUUUGCCCUGCUGUUGGAUUAGCUAUGUGCAUUAUAUUUGCCUUAUUCACAACCAGACAUCCAGGGACCCAGCGGGGUAAACAGACUCAGAACAAACCACCCUAAUUACUGUAUCAUUAAGAUGAGGCACAGGACACUUGGAAAAGGGCUUGGCAGGCAGGGAGGCAAACUAUCAGCUACAACAGGACCCAGGAGAGAAAUCUGGGUUUGCUACAUGACAGAUCUAGCGCAAAACACCAGCUCCUUGUCACUGCAGAAUCACAGCUGUCCACCUGUCCUCUGCAUCAGCUGUAGAAGAGUUGGGUAUGGUCAUGGCCCCCCAACAGAUGGAAACCUAUCAAGGAAGAAUCAAGACCUGCUGGUCUUUCCUACAGGAGUUAAGUUAAUAAUAACAUUGUUUAAUUAAAUUCCAUCUCCUGCGUCUUCCUUUUCUUUGUUAUGUGGUGGAACUUUGCAUGUAAGCAUUAGUACUUACCAGUGAAAGCUUGGGGUCAACAAAGGUAGCUCCCAGGUACUCAAAGUAAGAUGCCAGUCCCUCAUUAAGCCACAGAUCAUUCCACCAGUUCAUUGUAACCAGAUUUCCAAACCACUUAAAUGGAAAGAAAAAGUAUCUCAAAGUGUCCUUGGUCUGCUCUUCUCAUUUUUUUGCAGAUUAAGUACACAUACUUAUGAUGAAGUAACUUUAUUUAUUGUGUACAUGUAAAUUGAAUAAAUUGCUGAAUAGUCCUUCAGAUAGUGAAAAUUCAGUAGGAAAACAUGUACCUUCGAAAAAGUCAGAUGUUCAGGGCAAUUAUUUUUAAAUCGCUUCAUCUACAAUUUCAUACCAGGAGUGUGCAUCUCAGUGCUUUAUGUCAUUCUUUAAGGAUAUUUCAUUUCAAACACUUGUCAAUAUAAUUUAAAUAUAUAAAAUAUCAUUUCAGGCUAUGAUUAAAAGUAAGGCAUUUAUCAAGCAAUUAAAAAAACAUUUUUCCAUGUUCUUAACAGAAUGAAAUUGUCAGAGGAAUGGUAAACAAAAUAACCAUUUCCAAAAACAGGAAAUCCCUAUCCUGGCAAGUAUAAAAUUUCCACAACAUCUGCUGUGUACUCACAUUUGGCAGUUCAUAUUUAACAAAAACUGAUCACUUGUUGAUUUAUAUUUUAUUUGCUAAUUCUUAAAAACCUGAACUGCAACUUUAUUUUAAAACAGAAUUUUGUUAAGUAUUGACAUUUAUUUUAUAGGUCUGCAAUAAAAAUACUGCUCAUCUGAGGAUCUGGAAAGUUAUAGACCUUGUCAGAAAGGCAUACAAGUGCACUAGCCAAGCUAAACUCUUUUGCUAGCUUUGUUGACCAAGUGCAAAGAGUUGUUGCUCAGGCAAAUAACAGUAAAUUAAACAUAGUCAAUAAAGAAGUGAAACUGCAUUAUCAUUCCAAAUCAA